UACGAAGGGGGCUAGCGUUGCUCGGAAUCACUGGGCGUAAAGGGCGCGUAGGCGGCGUUUUUAAGUCGGGGGGUGAAAGCCUGUGGCUCAACCACAGAAUGGCCUUCGAUACUGGGACGCUUGAGUAUGGUAGAGGUUGGUGGAACUGCGAGUGUAGAGGUGAAAUUCGUAGAUAUUCGCAAGAACACCAGUGGCGAAGGCGGCUGACUGGUCCGGUACUGACGCUGAGGUGCGAAAGCGUGGGGGAGCAAACAGG
rnacentral:rRNA from 1 species